CGGCGCUGCCCCGGUGUCGGGAGGGGCCGCCUCGCCGCUCGGCGCGGUGCCCGGGGCAGGGAGUUGAUGAUUAACGUGCGGGCCACUGAGUACCUGCCUAAAGUCGCGCCCAGGGUGGGGUUUAACCUUGUCAGAGGCUCGGUGCCUCUCGUGUGACUCUGCCCGAGGCCCUCGGGCGGCCAGUUCCGCUGCUGCCGCCGAAGCGCUGCGGGGAUGCGCAGCUCCCUGUUGAAAAUCUCUGCUCUAAAUCUCAGCCUAGAGCUCGCCUCGCAGUCGUUUUUGGAAGUUUCAGGCUCAAGAGGUCGAGGUGAUGUGGGGGUCUCGGCGAGCGUCUGCGCAGCAGCAGCCUCGGGCUGCGGGAGCUCGAGUGUUUGUGGCUGGCACUUGAAUCCAUGCUGGCCCCUUUUCCUCGGGCCGAGCUGCGAGGAGCUCGGCAGCUGCGGCAUUUAGUUCAAUUACUUCAGAUGAUCUGUAAAUUUUCAAUAAUGGCAAUACAUUCAUUCUGCCAUUUGGAGGAGCCUGUGCCACAGAAUAAUGAUCUGAAGAAAGCUCACUCAUUUGCAAGGAAGAGUCUUCAUUUGGGAAUUAGCACUGAUGCAGCUCAAGGGUGCUUUUUCGAGUCCAGACUCUUUCAGCAGAACUGUUAUUUUCCUAACACAACCUCUGGUACAAGGAUAAAAUUGGGUUUUUGUCAAAGAACAGAGUCCUGUGUCUGA
ensembl:lncRNA